rnacentral:rRNA from 1 species
GUGAACUAUGCCUGGCCAGGACGAAGUCAGGGGAAACCCUGAUGGAGGUCCGUAGCGAUUCUGACGUGCAAAUCGAUCGUCGGAGCUGGGUAUAGGGGCGAAAGACUAAUCGAACCAUCUAGUAGCUGGUUCCCUCCGAAGUUUCCCUCAGGAUAGCUGGCGCUCGUUGUGACGAGUCCCAUCCGGUAAAGCGAAUGAUUAGAGGCCUUGGGGUCGAAACGAUCUCAACCUAUUCUCAAACUUUAAAUGGGUGGGAACCGCGGCUUGCUUGAACGACUUGAAGCCGCGGCCUCGGAUCGGAGUGCCCAGUGGGCCACUUUUGGUAAGCAGAACUGGCGCUGUGGGAUGAACCAAACGCCGGGUUAAGGCGCCCGAAUAAACGCUCAUACGAAACCAUGAAAGGUGUUGGUUGCUUAAGACAGCAGGACGGUGGCCAUGGAAGUCGGAAUCCGCUAAGGAGUGUGUAACAACUCACCUGCCGAAGCAACUAGCCCUGAAAAUGGAUGGCGCUGAAGCGUUUUGCCUAUACCCGGCCGCCGGGGCAAAGGGCGCGCGCCUUCGGGCGCGCGUCGCCAAGCCCCGGUGAGUAGGAGGGUCGCGACGGUGUGCGCAGAAGGGUCUGGGCGUGAGCCUGCCUGGAGCCGCCGUCGGUGCAGAUCUUGGUGGUAGUAGCA